GGGACAGAAAGACCCUAUGAAGCUUGACUGUAGCUUGAAAUUGGGUUCGGGCUCUUUUUGCGCAGCCUAGGUGGGAGGCUAUGAAGAUACACUUUUGGGUGUAUUGGAGCCAUCAGUGAGAGACCACUCUGGAAGAGCUAGAAUUCUAAUGGCGUUCCUUGAAGCAGGACGCUUGACAGUUUCAGGUGGGCAGUUUGACUGGGGCGGUCACCUCCUAAAAGGUAACGGAGGUGUGCAAAGGUUCCCUCAGGCUGGACGGAAAUCAGCCGUAGAGUGUAAAGGCAGAAGGGAGCUUGACUGCAAGACUUACAAGUCGAGCAGGGGCGAAAGCCGGCCUUAGUGAUCCGACGGUUCCGUGUGGAAGGGCCGUCGCUAAACGGAUAAAAGUUACUCUAGGGAUAACAGGCUGA
rnacentral:rRNA from 1 species